AAGUCGUAACAAGGUUUCCGUAGGUGAACCUGCGGAAGGAUCAUUAACGUAUCUCUGACGGGGUGCGGCGAGCCCUGCUCCGGUCGAACGGCCGUGCAGCGGGUUCCCGUCCCUGCUCACACCUUACAAACCCACUGUGAACCUUCACGGCGGACGGGAGGCGACUCCCCGAUGCCGCAUACCAAACCCCAGUAGUAAAGAAUGUCGUGCGGACUUUGCGCCGCCUAAAACACGAAACAACUUUCAACAACGGAUCUCUUGGCUCUC
rnacentral:misc_RNA from 1 species